AAAGCAAUCCACGUUUAUAACUUUAUAUUCAAAAUCCCAAAGCUCAAAUUUUCUCUCUCUUUUAUCAGAAAUUCCAAAACCUAAAAGCUUGAUUCGAUUUUGAUCGGAGUUUCUCUCUCCGAUUUGAUUCAGAUUUCAAUUGGUUCAGAUCGAAGGUGCUGCAGCUUAUGUUCAUCGACGACUACGUCUCCUCCAGCCAAAUUGAUUAACCACCGUUGUCGGCGCCAGCUUCCGAUUGUGCUUGGUCCAAUGACCUCCUGUGGCUUUUUUGUUUUUGGUUUCGUUAUGGUUUUCACCAGCUCCGGCGACUCACUGAUGGUGUGUCUAGACUGCGGCAGUGGCUUCAUCGAGGAGAUCGGCAACCCGACCCGCUCUGCCCACGUGGAUUCGUGCCGCAGGGGGAGUUCUGUUGCUGCGAUGUACAUGAUCGAAGCCAACAACCGUUCCGGUUUUAAUCAUGAUCUCUGACGGGAGCUUGGAGCUGAUUGCCAAGCCUUUCAAGAAUUUCAAGCUCCUUGUGCUUUCGUCCUGUGAGGGAUUCAGUACCGAUGGCCUUGCCUCCAUUGCGGCUAAUUGCAGGUUCAUCUCUCUGUUGUUAUGGCUAUCUAUUGCACUGUGUUUGCUGAUGUUCAUCGCUCUCUCUCUCUCUCUCUGAAUGUGAUUGCGGCUGAUUUGAUUGGAGCUGGUUUGUGCUGAUUUAGUUGCUAGGGUUUUGGGAUUUAACUAUUGAUGUUUUACAUUUGUAGAAUUCAAAAGGUACUUUGACAUGCUUGAUUUGUAGAGAAAGUUAUUGCUCAACAUUAUUGGAACACCAUCAUAUUUCAACAGUACCUGGAAAGAAGAGAUUCAAUUACAAACCACUUUGUUAUAUAACAAUUCUGUGUUUCUUUUCUUUCUAUACAGUUAUGUUGUUUGUUGUAAAAUUGACACCGGAUAGUGCAUUUCUCAUUUGUUUUACUAAAGGUCAAGAUGAUAAUGUUGAAAGUAGUUGCUCGAACUAUUGGGCUUCAUCGCUUGUUCUGUUGAAUUUCUAUCCUUAUUUUAUCAACUACAUUACAGUAUGUUAUCUGACCUAUUCAAUGAAUGUCUUUUUCUCUUGAUAAUCAAAAUGUUGUCACUGCAUGAAUUACUCGCUGCAGCAGUCCGGGCCUGUCAUGAAUCAUGAUAUGGUCAGUUAGCUACUCCUAUAUUUGAUUGGACCUCAGUAGAAGUUCAUUUUUUUUCCUGUCCCUCCAUUAACUGAAGUCCCACUUCUAUUGGAAAUGAAGCAUUAUUCAAAUUACUAGUUUGACAGUCGACUCAAUUUAAUUUGAGCAUUUGCUUAUGAGCAGGUUUGUCCUAAUGUUGUUGAACCACUUUUCAAACAAAUGGUGAACAAAUUUAUAGAUGAUCAUGCACAACCAGAGGUGUUACUCCAUAAGUGUUAUCUUCUUUUCUUUUAUUUUCCCCUUCGCCAGUCCCCUGUCUAUAUAUCUGAUCACUUUCUUUUCACAGGCCAUAGCUGUUGGACUGAAUACAACAAGGGAAAUUUGUUUACAAAUGCUUUUGAUAACGACCUAUUUAUAUUAAUUUGGUUCUGGUAUUUUCUGUAUUUCAGUCAAGGUUGCCAAUCUAAUGUUAUUAAUCAUGUAUAAUUUUGUUUCCUGCAACUAGUUGAGGACAUGAGAUUUGCUGCAAGAUCUUGCAUUAUAUAAGAAAUCACAUGCAAAAGCAGUGUCAGUAGCAGCCCAGUACCAAUUUGUGAAAACACUACUAGUCAAGCCAAUUAUGUAGGAUUAAAUAGUUUUAUCAGUUAUGAAUUAUCAAUGAUAUGAAGUUUCCUAAUUGAACACCAUAAAUCUAUACAUGGGUGACAUAACUUGUUCUGAAAAGUGGGCUUUAAGAUGGUACUAAGCCUUGGGGAAUCAUUGUUCCUUUUUUUGUUGUUUGGGUUUUUAAGUUAGUAGCCAUGGUCAGACAUGGUUUGCAUUUUGGAAAUUGGUACAGUAACAAUCUAUCAUAGAAAACAUAUACACCAAUUAAGCUCUUCUUUUCUUUUAGUUUUAUAUAUAGACUACUGAUAACGUCAUAGUUACAUGUUGAUGAUGUUGGCUUUUCUGCGUGGCUUGUUGGUUUGGUUCUUGCUGCUUGCAGCUCUUUAAUAAAGUUUUAAUUCAACCAAAAAUAGUUUGAUGAUGAUUGUGUUCUUAAAAACUGGUCCUCAUCAUAUCAUCUUCAUUAAUUCAUGAACCCGAUCGAGGAUGAAUGGCAUUUUCCAGGAUAAGGAAAACAAGGGUAGCUGCAAAAUCUUGGCCAGAAAUAACAAGCAGAUUAGAGGGCAUGCAUAUCAGCUUAAUCCUAAUGCCCCUAAAGAAAGAGUUGAUAAGAGAGUACUAUGAGCAAAAAUUUGGGCAGGAGUGCAGCUUCUUUUCUUUAUAUUGUAGUCCACUUCGAACAUGAAUCAGAUUAUCUGCUUAGUUGAAAGUUCUUGGCCCAGAAAUGUUGAAAAUGUACUUGGAUACAAUGUUGAGAGUAGUAGUGGUAGUUAAAAUGUACGAAAUCUCAAUCAGUCUGAAUUUGAAGCAGCUCUGAUUUCUGGAUGUUAAUUUAGAAGCUACUGGAGUGGCACUUAGGACAUCGGUUUUGCAGUGUGUUGGUUUCACUAGCUGUAACUUUCCUUGCAUAGUUAUAAGCAAAGAUAUCUAGAUCAAAGAGUUUGUUUGAUGAGGCCAAAACAUUUUUCAUGCACUUUUUUACUGUGCUGUUCAUGUAUACGCUUUAUAUGCAUCUGCUUUUUCUAAUACAAUUCUGAUUUUGUGU